AUAAACACAAUGAAAUAAGUUCCCCAAAAUCUAAAAUGGAGUGGUAUCAAAGGAGAAUUAAACGAAAAAAUAUUCAUAUUGAAAUUAUUUAUAAGGCACUGGACUGUCUUAAAUUCUACAAUAAUACUAGAAUCAGCUGAGAGAAGUGGUCUACAAAAAACCAGGAAGGAAACGGAAUAUGUGGCUACGAAAGACAAAAGAAAGGUUUACAAAGCAAAUGUGACACAUUUUUUUGAAAUAUUUAGGAAUAUCAGUAAAUUGCAUUAAAAAAAUGUAUGAAAAGAUUUUGUUCAAUAAAAAUGUUUAUAUUUA